rnacentral:rRNA from 1 species
CCUACGGGCGGCAGCAGUGGGGAAUAUUGCACAAUGGGGGUAACCCUGAUCCAGCGACGCCGCGUGAGGGAAGAAGUAUCUCGGUAUUUAAAGCUCUAUUAGCAGGGAAGAAAAUGACGGUACCUGUCUCAGAAGCCACGGCUAACUACGUGCCAGCAGCCGCGGUAAUACUUAGGCGGCACGCGUUAUCCGGAUUUACUGGGUGUAAAGGGAGCGUAGGCGGCGCUGCCAGUUCGGAGUGAAAGGCCAGGGCUUAACCAUGGUACUGCUCUGGAAACUGUGGAGCUUGAGUGCGGGAGGGGCAGGCGGAAUUCCUGGUGUAGCGGUGAAAUGCGUAGAUAUUAGGAGGAACACCGGCGGCGAAGGCGGCCUGCUGGACCGUAACUGACGUUGAGGCUCGAAAGCGUGGGGAGCGAACAGGAUUAGAUACCCUUGUAGUC